rnacentral:rRNA from 1 species
AACGAACGCUGGCGGCGUGCUUAACACAUGCAAGUCGAACGCGAAAGGGACUUCGGUCCUGAGUAAAGUGGCGCACGGGUGAGUAACGCGUAGAUAACCUAUCUUCACGUCUGGAAUAAUACGCCGAAAGGGGUACUAAUACCGGAUAUUCUUGCUUUUCAUAAGUUUUGCAAGGAAAGGUGGCCUCUGUAUAUGCUACUGCGGGAAGAGGGGUAUGCGGCCCAUUAGCUAGUUGGUGGGGUAAUGGCCUACCAAGGAAACGAGGGGUAGCCGGCCUGAGAGGGUGAACGGCCACAUUGGGACUGAGACACGGCCCAGACUCCUACGGGAGGCAGCAGUUAAGAAUCUUGCGCAAUGGGCGAAAGCCUGACGCAGCGACGCCGCGUGGACGAUGAAGGCCUUCGGGUUGUAAAGUCCAAUAAGCAGGGAAGAAUAAGCAACGGGAAAUAUUCGUUGUGAUGACGGUACCUGCCUAAAGCCCCGGCUAACUACGUGCCAGCCGCCGCCGUAAUAC